CUUCCUGUCAGGUUUAGAACGAUUUUUACAAAGUGUUAACCGCGGAGAACUCGAAACCUGUAUGUCUUUGGUCAAAUAUCGAAAAAGAAAACCGGCGUAAGAUCAAGAAGAAGAGGACACCGUUGCGGCGUUUCUUCUUGCAACCCAGUCAUCUUCUUACACUCUUUCGUGGGUAACUUAGUUCUUCUCACUAAGCACAAUGGGAGGACUUGGAGGACCUCUUUGGGAUCCCACUCAGGUCGGCUGGAAGUAUUACUUCAACACUAAUGCCCUGAAACCCAGGCGGAAUGUUUCUGCUGCUGCAAUUGGCGCGUGGGUAAUGGUUUACCAGACGUACAAGUUCUUCGCCAAACGCAAGGCAAGGAAGAUGGAGGCACUGAAGGCAGUCAAGACGGCAUAGGCGUGAAGCUCUGUCCAUUUGUCAGUGUCAUGUUGUAGUAGCGCUUUUAAAUGCCCCCUUUGGCUUGUAAGACUUGUAUGAACUUGUUGAUUAUGCGUUCAUUAUGAAAUUUUAAUUUAAUGUUAUUCGCUGUUCGCUUCCACAUGCUGUUUGUAUAGUUCCUGUAGUGUCCGUGUGGUGGUGUACUUGGAGGAGUGCAGCUUGUGAACUCCCCGACUAGCCUGCGCUGUGUGUACAUACAUGCUCAUGCUAGCUAUUUUUCACCCCUGCGCUGACAUGCAAGGAGUGUGGUUGCCCUUGCAUCACAAGUGUAAAUACACAUGAUAUAGACUA